GCGACAAGAGUCCGAAAAAUUGUGAUAUCGGCAAGAAUCAGAAAAAUCUUGGUGGUGAAGGAAACUUUGUGAUCUGGCAGCUCAUCUUUCUUGCUUUAUCACUGUCCCUCAACCUUUUUCUCUUUCUGUGGUUAGCCACUGAAAAGAAAUGGUUGCCUUGUGGACGACUAAAGAAAGUUCAAGAGUCACAGCAAUCUCAUCCUGAGAAUGACCUACAUUAUGCUGAAGUGGUGUCUGCUGAAAAUCGAAAGAAAAGGAAUGAAGAAGUGAAAAUAAACACAACGUAUGCUGAAGUGCAGAUGAGAAAAGCUUUAUAAAAUUGAAUUUCAAAGAAUGAAUGAAUCAUCAACACUGUGAAAAUGAGAAAAAGAAAAUAUUUUGUAUUCUAUAUGUAAAUAUGUAUUUUUUGCAUAAGUUACAGAUGAUCAUUGGAUUACCAAAUGCUUACAGAACGACUGAGUAAUAUAUUAUUUUUUUGUAUUUUGUUUUUCUGCCUUAAUCAUUUUUUCCUUCUUUGUAAUGUCAUAACAUGCUCCAUUUUCUUGUAGCGAUAACUCCAUCAUCUUGUAAGACAAUGAAUGUAAUGAGGUUUAUUUAACAAAGAUAUUUCACAUAUACAGAAAAUUUGGCCACUGCAUUUGUAAUUGUGCAGUUCAGUAAAAUAAACAGCGACAGAGCAUGAAUGUGUAUCAAGUUCUAUAAGGAAAUAUCUGGCCAGAAAGUGAAAAAAGAUGGUAGCACACUCUUAUUUUGAGUAAUUGGGACUGACAUUACAAAGCAGAUGAUUUAUAGUAUUUCAUAAAUAUAAAACAUAUGGAGCAAUCGCUUGCAAAUGUAAUACAGUGGUGUGAAAAA